rnacentral:rRNA from 1 species
AUUGAACGCUGGCGGCAUGCUUUACACAUGCAAGUCGAACGGUAACAGGCCUUCGGGUGCUGACGAGUGGCGAACGGGUGAGUAAUGCAUCGGAACGUGCCCAGAGGUGGGGGAUAACGCAGCGAAAGCUGUGCUAAUACCGCAUGUGAUCUGAGGAUGAAAGCGGGGGACCAGGCAGCAAUGUUUGGCCUCGCGCCUUUGGAGCGGCCGAUGUCAGAUUAGGUAGUUGGUGGGGUAAAGGCCUACCAAGCCGACGAUCUGUAGCUGGUCUGAGAGGACGACCAGCCACACUGGAACUGAGACACGGCCCAGACGCCUACGGGAGGCAGCAGUGGGGAAUUUUGGACAAUGGGCGCAAGCCUGAUCCAGCAAUGCCGCGUGCGGGAAGAAGGCCUUCGGGUUGUAAACCGCUUUUGUACGGAACGAAAAGGCUCUGGCUAAUACCUGGGGCUGAUGACGGUAACGUAAGAAUAAGCACCGGCUAACUACGUG